rnacentral:rRNA from 1 species
AGAGUUUGAUCAUGGCUCAGGAUGAACGCUGGCGGUAUGCUUUACACAUGCAAGUCGUACGGGAGUUUUGAACUCCAGUGGCGGACGGGUGAGUAACACGUAAGAAUUUGCCUUUAGGAGGGGGAUAACAACUGGAAACGGUUGCUAAUACCCCAUAUGCUUUCGAGUGAAAUGGAUGUUUCCGCCUAGAGAGAAGCUUGCGGCUGAUUAGCUUGUUGGUAAGGUAACGGCUUACCAAGGCGACGAUCAGUAUCUGGUUUGAGAGGACGAUCAGACACACUGGAACUGAGACACGGUCCAGACUCCUACGGGAGGCAGCAGUGGGGAAUUUUCCGCAAUGGGCGAAAGCCUGACGGAGCAAUACCGCGUGAGGGAUGACGGCCUAUGGGUUGUAAACCUCUUUUUUCAGGGAGGAAAAAAAUGACGUUACCUGAAGAAUAAGCAUCGGCUAACUCCGUGCCAGCAGCCGCGGUAAGACGGAGGAUGCAAGUGUUAUCCGGAAUCACUGGGCGUAAAGCGUCUGUAGGUGGUUGAAUAAGUCAACUGUUAAAUCUUGGGGCUCAACCUCAAAAUCGCAGUCGAAACUAUUCGACUCGAGUAUAGUAGGGGUAAAGGGAAUUUCCAGUGGAGCGGUGAAAUGCGUAGAGAUUGGAAAGAACACCGAUGGCGAAGGC